GUACCUGGGUUGCAGGCACAUCCCCAGUAGGAGAUGUGCAGGAGGCAGCUGAUCGAUGUUUCUCUCUCAUCGAUGUUUCUAACUCUCUAUCUCUCUCCCUUCCUCUCUGUAAAAAAUCAAUAAAAUAUAUUAAAAAAAGAAAUUUCAAUCAUUGUAUUGUUGAUAUUUGGCUGUGUUGACUAAUGAGUUUGCCGACCACUGGUCUAGAAGAUGAGAAGAGCAGAGUCAAGCAUAGGAUAUAGACUUGGGCCUCUCAAGUUAGGCCUGAGAGCCCAUGUAGAUAAAGCUGGAUCUCUCAGGAAGGUGUGAGGAGUCUGAGUUGGCUAUAAGUUGAGAUGCAGGCAGGUACGGGAAACUUGGUCCAUUAGCGGAGCUGUCUAACUCCUGCCUCUGACGGGUGUGUGACCGUGCAGUAUGAGGUACUGGAAUAGGACACAGACAGAGCUAACCUCCCAGGGGAAGGAAGCCUUUGCAUCCAUGCCCAAUGCUGGCUUUGUCAGUGAGACCAUUGAUCCAGGGUCAUAUGGGCAGAGGUGUAGAAACAUGAUCUUAGGUGGGUUCUUGCCACCUGGAUUCAGGUACAGAUUGGCAUCCUUGGGCUUGUUAGGCAAAAUGAGUGGGCAAGAUUUAGCCCAGAAAUGCAUAAUUGGUGUGGCUGGUGAGUCCUGAGAAGGAGGGUCAGACACAGGUGGGAACUUCCGUGGUAGGAUUCGACAAGGUCAUAUGGGCGGUGUGAGGCUCUCAUCCCGGAAAAGACAAAGUCAUUCUAGGAAUGUGUGCCUGGGUCUGCCUGGGAAGGACUUGAGAGCCCUUAGGAUCGGGGAGGACAGAUAGAGUGCCCCAAGCUCGAUCAGCAUCCUGGUCAGGUGUGAUGGGCAGAGCUCAAGGUAUUCUAGAGGCCUGAGGAUCCAUUACUAGUCUGAGGUGUGGUCUGUAGUGUGGUUGGCAUAGGGCCUGACUUACCCAGGUGAGGAAAAAGAUAGAGUUAUGUCUUAUUAGAUAAAGAGGUCUGGGGCACAGGGCAGCACAGAUUGUUGAAUGGCUGAGGAGCUACAUCUAUAAGAUGUGGUCUAAGAGGCCCACUGCAGCUACAGGUGAGGUCUAGAGACCUGUGUUUGCAGGUUGAGGUUUUAGAGUCUCAAGUCAGACACUAGCAUUGCUGGGCUUUCCAAAAACGUGAGGUCUGUUGACCUAGCCUCAGCCAAGGUCAGCAGCUUGGAAUCUGUCAGUCUGAGGGCUUGCUAGUUCUCAGUCCGGUUUCUAGAAUUGAGUCUGUUUGUUGAGAUCUGAGAGCCUGUGUCAGGCAUGGUGUGGCCAGUGAAACUGUGUCUGUCAGGUAAGGUUCCCCCAAACCUGGACCCUUUCCAGGUGAGGGCGCCCACCAUUCGUCUUUAUUACCCAGGCCAGAGACCUCUGGGCCACACUUGGUUCUCUCAUUCUCCCAAUUCAUCCUGUUUGAUUGAACCUCCUGAACCUGCACCCCCAGGGUAGUAGUCUCUGGAUGACCACUGGGGGUCCUAAGUGGUUUCCUGUUUCCAUUUUCACCCCUCCCAGACUUCUCCCUUCUCCAGCCUUGCCUCUCAGCUUCUACCCUCCAGCCCCCACUCCUUUCUUCAUCUUCUAGAUUGUGCUGUGUUUCCUCCUGGCCAGCCUAUUUCAAUGGGGUUCCAGUAGAGAAUAAGGGGUACUAGGCUCAAGUACCCCUCAGAUUUCUUUUAUUUUAUUGAUCUUUGAGAAAGGAAGGGAAGGAAGGAGAGAGAGAGAGAGAGAAGAGAGAUGCAUCGAUUAGCUAGCUGCCUUCCGUACAUUACCCAACUGGGGAUUGAACCUGCAACCCAGGUAUGUGCCCUGACCAGGAAUCAAAACAGCAACCUUUUGGUGCACAGGGCAGUGCUCAACCAGCUGAACCACUGCAGCCAGGCGAGUUCUGAGGAUUCUGAUGACACAAAGUAGAAUCUGUAAUAUGGCAUGAAAAGGCACAGUGUGAAUAAAUAGUAGGCCUGGUGUGUCUUGGGGCUGAGGCUGAGGUGAUCAGUGAAGCUCAAGUAUGAGCACCUGGGCCUGUGGGUGUGUCAGGAGGCAGGCUGGGCACAGGUAUGAGGCACUGAGUCUGCUAGUCUGAGGAUACAGACAUGGCACAGGUACAAGGCACUGGGUCUGUCAGUGUUCAAGGAGGUAAACUAAGCACAAGUUUGAGGCACUGGCACUGUGGGUGUCUGAGGAGCCUGACCAGGCACAGGUAUGAGGUUCUGGAUCUGUGGGUGUCUGAGGAGCCUGACCAGGCACAGGUAUGAAGUUCUGGAUCUGUGGGUGUCUGAGGAGCCUGACCAGGCACAGGUAUGAGGCGCUGGAUCUGUGGGUGUCUGUGAGGCCUGACCAGGCACAGGUAUGAGGUUCUGGAUCUGUGGGUGUCUGAGGAGGCCUGACCAGGCACAGGUAUGAGGUUCUGGAUCUGUGGGUGUCUGAGGAGCCUGACAAGGCACAGGUAUGAAGUUCUGGAUCUGUGGGUGUCUGAGGAGCCUGACCAGGCACAGGUAUGAGGCGCUGGAUCUGUGGGUGUCUGAGGAGCCUGACCAGGCACAGGUACGAAGUUCUGGAUCUGUGGGUGUCUGAGGAGACUGACCAGGCACAGGUAUGAGGCGCUGGAUCUGUCGGUGUCUGAGGAGCCUGACCAGGCACAGGUACGAGGCGCUGAAUCUGUGGGUGUCUGUGAGGCCUGACCGGGGUAUGAGGUUCUAGGUUUGUGGGCAUCUAAGGAGGACUGACCAGGCACAGAUAUGAAGUUCUGGAUCUGUGGGUGUCUGAGGAGCCUGACCAGGCACAGGUAUGAGGCGCUGGAUCUGUGGGUGUCUGAGGAGCCUGACCAGGCACAGGUAUGAGGCGCUGGAUCUGUGGGUGCCUGAGGAGCCUGACCAGGCACAGGUAUGAGGCGCUGGAUCUGUGGGUGCCUAAGGAGGCCUGACCAGGCACAGGUAUGAGGCGCUGGAUCUGUGGGUGUCUGAGGAGCCUGACCAGGCACAGGUAUGAGGUUCUGGAUCUGUGGGUGCCUGAGGAGGCCUGACCAGGCACAGGUAUGAGGUUCUGGAUCUGUGGGUGCCUGAGGAGGCCUGACCAGGCACAGGUAGGAGGUGCUGGAUCUGUGGGUGCCUGAGGAGGCCUGACCAGGCACAGGUAGGAGGCGCUGGAUCUGUGGGUGCCUGAGGAGGCCUGACCAGGCACAGGUAUGAGGUGCUGGAUCUGUAGGUGUCUGAGGAGCCUGACCAGGCACAGGUAUGAGGCGCUGGAUCUGUGGGUGCCUAAGGAGGCCUGACCAGGCACAGGUAGGAGGCGCUGGAUCUGUGGGUGCCUGAGGAGGCCUGACCAGGCACAGGUAUGAGGUUCUGAAUCCGUGGGUGUCUGAGGUGCCUGACAUGGCACAGAUAUGAGGUUCUGGAUCUGUGGGUGUCUGAGGAGCCUGACCAGGCACAGGUAUAAGAUUCUGGAUCUGUGGGUUUCUGUGAGGCCUGACCAGGCACAGGUAUGAGGCGCUGGAUCUGUGGGUGUCUGAGGAGACUGACCAGGCACAGGUAUGAGGCGCUGGAUCUGUGGGUGUCUGAGGAGCCUGACCAGGCACAGGUAUGAGGCGCUGAGUCUGUCAGUGUUUGGAGAGGCUGAACCUGGCACAGGUAUGAGGCACUGGGUCUUUCAGUGUCUUAGGAGACGACCCAGCUACGGUAAGGUCUCCGAUUGCGUCUUCUGGCUCUGCUCAGUCCCAGCACCGGCCAGAGGUGGGUGGGCCCAGGCCCUCUGAGCUGCACCUGUGAAGAGCUUUGCUCCCAGGGGAGCAAGUUUUGUGGCAGGGGGGAGGGGGCGGGAAUGCCAACCCUUCCUCAGCACCAUUUCCUGUCUC